rnacentral:rRNA from 1 species
CACGUAGGGGGCGCGCGUUGUCCGGAUUUAUUGGGCGUAAAGAGCUCGUAGGCGGCUCAGUAAGUCGGGUGUGAAAACUCCAGGCUCAACCUGGAGACGCCACCCGAUACUGCUGUGGCUAGAGUCCGGUAGGGGAGCAUGGAAUUCCUGGUGUAGCGGUGAAAUGCGCAGAUAUCAGGAGGAACACCAGUGGCGAAGGCGGUGCUCUGGGCCGGAACUGACGCUGAGGAGCGAAAGCGUGGGGAGCAAACAGG